GCCUGGGUGGCUCAGUCGGUUGAGCAUCCGACUUCGGCCCGGGUCAAGAGCUCACGGUCCGUGAGUUCGAGCCCCGCGUCAGGCU
rfam:Felis catus isolate Cinnamon breed Abyssinian chromosome A2, whole genome shotgun sequence.